GGCCACGCCUGUCCGAGAGUC
rnacentral:rRNA from 2 species